CCCUGGUUCACCUUCUAAAGGGCUCCAAAUCCCCACUAAUUCAGGGCAGCGUUCUUGAAUUUGCCUACUUAAUGACAGAUGCAUAAACUUACUUUGAGUUAAAUUGUCAAGGAAGCCCAUGAACGCUUGAAGGAGGAACUGGACAAGAGAAGAACACCUGUAGUUACCAACGAAGAAGAGCUCUUCAGUGUAUCCGUCACCAUACAAAUGUGGGUGGAGAUGUUCCCUUCCCCUAUGAGCUCAUCGACCAUACAGACAAGACAAAUUCAGGCUGCAGGAUGGAUUGGUCAUACACUGUCCAGAAGUGGGAGAUCCAGCCAUCUUUAUGAAAGGACUGUGUUUUUAAACAUGAAAAACGCCCUAAGAAUGGUCCAAAGAGUAGAAAAGAAAGGUUGGAAACCAAUAGGGAUAAACAAACAAACAACAAAAUAAACCACCCUGCAGAUUUUCAACUUUCAGUGUCAUUUCAAAUUUCAGGAAAUAAAUGUGGAAAACAGACUGAUGACAGCUUUGUGACAUCCACCCCUCUGCCUCCGAGUGCCUUUUAUCCAACAGGAAAACAAAGCAUGCAGUUAAGGAAGACUGGAAAAAUUAAGCCUGAAUCUCUCAUUGACCUGAAACCCACCCUCCAGGGGCAACCAGCAGCUUCCACACCAGCCUUUCACUAUUCAUUGUCCUUCCUAAUGAGAACAACAUUAGACUACUACCUCAACACGACUGAAAUGAUUUCAUGGUAGAAAAUGAUCGUCUCUAUACUUCAGAAGCACUGGUGGUGUUUGCUAUUCAAAUUAGAAUCCUUCCAUACUAACUGUUUUAUUAUCACCAUUAUUAUUUCUGUAUGCUGCGGAAAAGAAGAGAAUCAUUAUUUUCCAUCAGUUCAUUUAGCAGCGGUUGAAAGUUUCUUCUAGUAAACACAAGGAUCAGUCUCUGCUCUGAAGAAUCAAGUAACUACAAAAACGCAGUGGCAUCUUUUAUGCAAAGCAUCACCCCUAUGCCUUUACUCACUGUGCUUUUCCUUAAAUGACUGUAAUGAGACUGUUAAGCAUUCCAGCCUUGUGACUAAUCCCUGCAGGUUUCACCGAUGACAAUAAUAUCAAAUUUCUUCUCAUCAAUGGGAAUUUCCAUUUCCAGCUUGCUUGUUACCCUGGAGUCUAGAACUGCUGUAUAAGAAACAGUUAUAGGAAAAUAGGAAACCCUCUUUUUUCUUCACAACUUUAGCACAGCAGCUCAAUUUGUUUGCAACGUGCUGAUUUUUAGUUCAGUUUGCAUUUGCCUUCUUAGCACCUUCCCUUUGUGUCAUUAGUCAAGCAACCGCCUGGCUGUUCCAGCUUGUUUCUGACAGAACGGAGUAGGUUUGAGAUGGAGGCCAUUCUGCUCACAUGUGAUUGCAUAUAUAUAUAAAAGACUGAAAGCAGCAUUAUGAAACCUCCAGCAACUCAGCUACACACUGCAGCCAC
rnacentral:lncRNA from 1 species